UCAUUUCAAAAUUGGAACGUGAAAUCUUCUUCUCUAAGGAACAAUAUCAGUAGUACAAUUUUUCUCUAACUUCAUGUUUUUUUCAGAAGGAUUUGAUUGUGCUGAGGUAGUCAUUAGUCAACAAACUAUAAUCUCCGCCACAUUGUUUUGUCGUGUAGAACAUCAUCACUCUUCAUUCAGCGGCUAGAUUUCACAGGAAAAAAAACAAAAUGCAACCUUCUCUCUCUUUUGCACGUGUCUCUGUUUCUGGUUGAUCCAAAUUCAGGAACCUGAUAAUAGGGACUUCCCAGUUCUCAUCUCUCAUCAUCACCACUGCCGCAAAUGGAGCUACUACACCAAGAGCAACAACCCGUUUCGCUUUCCCUUUCCUUUUCCCUUUCUGUUGUCUCUGAUGCUUCUGCUCCUUCCUCUUCAUCGGAACAGUCCAGUCCAGCAGAUGCAGUAAUCUUCUUUGGUCUCAGUUUGGCUCUGGGGAUUGCUUGUAGGCACCUCUUGCGUGGGACUAGAGUUCCUUACACCGUUGCCUUGCUCAUAAUUGGCAUUGCACUUGGAUCUAUAGAAUAUGGUACUCAUCAUCGGCUGGGAAAGAUUGGAGAUGGAAUUCGUCUUUGGUCAGAGAUUGAUCCAGACCUUCUGUUAGCUGUUUUUCUUCCUGCUCUCCUGUUUGAAAGCUCAUUCUUAAUGGAAGUUCACCAAAUUAAGAGGUGUCUUGCACAAAUGAUCAUACUAGCUGGUCCUGGUGUUGCGCUUUCAACUGUUUGUCUUGGAGUUGUCAUGAAGCUUACUUUUCCAUACAACUGGGGUUGGAAAACAUCACUGUUGCUUGGGGGACUUCUGAGUGCAACAGAUCCUGUUGCUGUUGUGGCUUUGUUGAAAGAUCUUGGUGCCAGCAAAAAACUAAGCACCAUAAUUGAAGGGGAAUCCUUGAUGAAUGAUGGGACGGCUAUUGUAGUUUAUACUCUUUUCUAUCGGAUGGUUCUUGGAGAGACCUUCAAUUGGGCUGCUAUAAUCAAAUUUCUAGCACAAGUUUCACUUGGAGCUGUAGGGAUGGGUCUUGCUUUUGGGAUUGCAUCUGUUUUGUGGCUAGGGUUUAUUUUUAAUGAUACAGUGAUUGAAAUUGCUCUAACAUUUGCUGUUAGCUACAUUGCUUAUUUCACUGCCCAGGAGGGUUCAGGUGUCUCAGGUGUUUUGACGGUGAUGUCUUUGGGAAUGUUUUAUUCUGCAUUUGCAAGGACAGCUUUUAAGGGUGAAAGUCAACAAAGCUUACAUCACUUUUGGGAAAUGAUUGCUUAUAUAGCUAAUACCUUAAUUUUCAUUUUGAGUGGAGUUGUCAUAGCUGAAGGAAUACUUGGUGACAACAAUGUUUUCUAUCAUGGAACAUCAUGGACCCACCUCUUGCUUCUCUAUGUUUAUGUACAAGUGUCUCGAUGCAUUGUUGUUGGAGUAUUGUUUCCCUUUCUUAGAUAUUUUGGAUAUGGUUUGGAUUGGAAAGAAGCUAUUAUUCUCAUCUGGUCAGGAUUGCGAGGGGCAGUUGCCUUGGCACUUUCAUUAUCAGUUAAGCGUUCAAGUGGAAAAUCAAUUGAGUUGACUCCGGAGACAGGAACACUGUUUGUUUUCUUCACUGGUGGAACUGUGUUUUUAACACUUAUAGUAAAUGGGUCAACCACACAACUCAUGUUACGUUACCUUGGCAUGGAUAGUUUAUCAGCAGCUAAGAGACGUAUCCUUGACUUUACAAAGCAUGAAAUGUUGGACAAGGCAUUGGAGGCUUUCAGUGAACUUGGAGAUGAUGAGGAACUUGGGCCUGCUGACUGGCCCACAGUGAAGAGAUACAUCUCUUGCUUAAAUGACAUUGAAGGUGAACGUGUUCACCCUCAUGGUGCAACUGAAAAUGAUAGUCAACUAGAUCCUAUGAACUUGAAAGAUAUACGAGUACGACUACUGAAUGGUGUACAAGCUGCUUACUGGGAGAUGCUUGAGGAAGGAAGGAUUUCUCAAAUAACAGCUAAUGUCCUAAUGUUAUCCGUAGAGGAAGCCAUAGAUUUGGCUUCAUCUGAGUCUCUAUGCGACUGGAAAGGUUUAAAAUCUAACGUUCACUUCCCAAGUUACUACAAGUUUCUACAGUCCAAUAUGUUCCCACCGAAGCUAGUGACAUACUUCACUGUACAAAGGUUGGAAUCUGCAUGUUAUAUUUGUGCUGCAUUUCUUCGUGCUCACAGAAUUGCUCGACAACAAUUACAUGACUUCAUAGGUGACAGCGAUAUUGCUUCUGCUGUCAUCAAUGAAAGUGUUGUAGAAGGAGAAGAAGCACGGAAGUUCCUAGAAGAUGUUAAUGUGACAUACCCUCAGGUUCUGCGUGUUGUAAAAACAAGGCAAGUUACAUAUGCAGUGCUACAUAAUUUAAUUGAAUAUGUUCAAAACCUUGAGAAGACUGGGAUAUUGGAAGAGAAAGAGAUGCUACAUCUCCAUGAUGCUGUCCAGACUGAUUUGAAGAAAUUACUUAGAAAUCCUCCUUUGGUUAAGCUUCCUAAAAUAAGUAGCAUACAUCCUAUGUUGGGUGCUCUCCCAUCUUCGGUUCGUGAAUCACUUGCCAACUGUACCAAGGAAAUGAUGAAAUUCCGUGGUGUGACACUUUACAAGGAAGGUGCAAAGUCAAAUGGUAUUUGGUUAAUUUGUAAUGGAGUAGUGAAGUGGGAAAGCAAGAUGACACCAACCAAACACUCAUUUUAUCCUACUUUUACUCAUGGGAGUACAUUGGGUCUUUAUGAAGUGCUGACUGGAAGACCAUAUAUCUGUGAUGUCAUCACAGAUUCUGUAGUAUUCUGCAUUUUCCUUGAAGCUGGCAAGAUAAUAUCAUGUCUCAAAUCAGAUCCUUCAACAGAAAACUUCCUGUGGGAGGAAAGUGCUAUUUUCCUUUCCAAACUAUUGGUUCCUCAGAUAUUUGGGAAACUGGCUAUGAAAGAUUUAAGAGCUCUUAUUGCAGAUCCAGAGAGAUCUAGGAUGACCAUAUUCAUAAGAGGGGAAACAAUAGAAAUCCCUCAUCAUUCAGUUGCCCUCUUACUAGAAGGAUAUGUAAAAACUCAAGGUCGUCAAGAACUCAUAACAGCACCAGCAGCGCUGCUUCCUUCAUCCGGGAAUCUAAGCUUCCAAAAUUUGGCAGGAUCAGGACCUUGCCACGGGAAAGACAAUUUUAACGGCUAAGGAGCAGAGUGGGUUAUAUUUUUUAGUGCUUAAUGACCAAAGCAACACAAAAAUCAUGAGUCAACAAGCUACAUCUGAGACGUGGGCAAAAUUUCAAAUAUGGUUACAUCAUCAAAGGCUUGGGCAUCCUUCAUUUAGUCUUAUCAAGUCCUUGUUUCCCCACUUGUUUACCAAAGAGUCUAUUGAGUCUUUUAAAUGUGAUAUUUGUCAAUUGUCAAAACAUCAUCGUGCAUCUUAUCAUAUUAGUCACAAAAAGAGUAUUUCUCCAUUUGAUUUAAUUCACUCUGAUGUUUGGGGUCCUGUCAUAGAUUCUAUUUCCGGAGCCAAAUGGUUCGUUACCUUUAUUGACGAUUGUACCCGUGUCACGUGGACAUACCUUAUGAAAAAUAAAUCCAAAGUUUUUCAAAUUUUUGUUAAUUUUUUCCAUCUUGUCCAAAAUCAAUUUGGAAAAAAUAUCGAAAGAAUCAGGUCUGAUAAUGGUACUGAAUAUGUGAAUCAUGAAUUUCUAUAUUUUUUGUCUCAUAAUGGUAUUGUUCAGGAACUAACUUGUGUUAACACUCCUCAACAAAAUGGGGUUGCAGAAAGAAAGAAUCGUCAUCUUCUUGAAAUAACUAGAGCUCUUCUUUUUCAAAUGUCUGUUCCAAAAAAUUACUGGGGAGAAGCUAUGUUAACUGUCACAUAUCUCAUCAACAGGUUACCCACUCGUAUCUUAAAUGGCAUUAGUCCUAUAGAGUCUCUAUUGUCUUUUCUUCCUUCUUGUUCCCUAUUAACGAGUCUACCUAGUCGAGUCUUUGGAUGUGUUGUUUUUGUUCAUUCUCAUCAUCCUAACCGUGGUAAAUUAGAUCCCAGAGCUCUUAAAUGUGUCUUUAUUGGGUAUCCUUCUAAUAAAAAAGGGUACAAAUGUUAUCAUCCUCAGAGUCGUCGCGUCUUUAUCACCAUGGAUGUCACAUUUCAUGAAACACAAUCCUUUUAUGUCAGUCCACCACUUCAGGAGGAGAAAGCACUUGAAGUGGAUGAACUCUCCUUCUUGUCAUUACCAUGUUUGUCUUUGCAUGAUGCCCAAGACUUGAGCAAUGAAGCUACCAUAAUCCACAGUGAGGAAGAAGACAAAUUUUUUGGCAAAAAAUAUGAAAGAAGAGAACAACCCACUUCGACUCUCGAGCAAGAAAAAUUGUCUACUCCGGAGGUGAGGAUCCCUGAAGAUAUCAAUGAGGAGGAGGUUCCAAGGGAGCUAGUUUUACUCAUCAAGGAUCUAUUUAUCUAGUUGAAACUACAGCAAGGGUAAUUCUUUUUGACAUUCCAGCAUCUGAGACCGAUGCUUCUCUUGUGAGAAGGUCAAGUUCAGUGUUACUGCAUGC